rnacentral:rRNA from 1 species
CAAUAGCGUAUAUUAAAUUUGUUGCGGUAAAAAAGCUCGUAGUUGGAUUUCUACCGAAGAUAGCCGGUCGGGUCUUCGACCUUGUAUCUGGUUUUGUCUUUGGUAUCCUCAUAGGGAACGUUUCUGCGCUUUAUUGCGUGGUGCGGUAUCUAUGACUUUUACUUUGAGGAAAUUAGAGUGUUCACGGCAGGCAAACGCCUUGAAUAUAUUAGCAUGGAAUAAUAACAUAGGAUCUUCGUCCUAUUUUGUUGGUUUCUAGGGCUAAGAUAAUGAUUAAUAGGGAUAAUUGGGGGCAUCUGUAUCAACGCGUCAGAGGUGGAAUUCUUGGAUUGCGUUGCGACAAACUACUGCGAAAGCAUUUGCCAAGGAUGUUUUCAUUGA